ensembl:lncRNA
CAUCUGUACUGGGUAUAAAGGGCCAUACAGUGCAUCUAUCUAAGUCUUGCAGGACCACCUCCACUCUAGCUGGAAGGGCUUAUUCAGCGGAUGGCCAGGUUGGCUCAGUACUUCACACAAAGCCAAAUGUCUCCGCAUGAUGGAUGAGUCCAGCUCAAGUUCUGAUGCCUUUAAGGAACUGUGCACAGUGAUGGACCUGGCUCUGCAUGCUACAAUGGCCCAUGCGCAGGAAUUUUUUGGCCCUGCCAUGGAUGGAUUCGCUGAGUGCUUCACAGCGGCACAGAAGUCAUUGCAAGCCAUCCAUAACUUCCUGCCAAAGCGCUCCAGCUCAAUGGCUGAUUCAAGUUGCCAGAAGGAUCCAUCCUCUCAAAAGCCUGCGAAGUCUAUGCAGUUUCUGUCCCAUCCUCAGGCUAAGUCUAAGCCUGGUCUUCAGCAGCACCCUCAGACAGCCAAACGACACCUGUUUCCCAAGUUCCAGGGACCCUGCCCUAGAGUGACAUUGGACCCUGAGCUGCAGAAGCUAUCCUGAUCUUAGAGAGAGUAAGACAAAAAGGCAAGACUCCUCCAGUGACUCCCACAAAAGCAACAGCUCCAAGAACACCUCGCAGAAACGCAGGACCUGCUGCUGCUCCUGCUGCCCCAACUGCUGCAAAUGCUCCUCCUGCUGCCUCGACUGCUGCAGCUGUUCCCCCUGCUGCACCAACUGCUGCAGCUGCUCCCCCUGCUGCCUCAACUGCUGCAGCUGCUCCCCCUGCUGCCUCAACUGCUGCAGCUUCUCCUCCUGUAUCCGCAGCCUCUCCUCCUGUAUCCGCAGCUGCUCCUCCUGCUGUAGUGGCUCCUCUUGCUGCAGCUGCUCCCCCUGCUGCACUUGCUGCUCCUGCUGCAAUUGCUCCUCCUGCUGCAAUUGCUCCUCCUGCUGCAAGUGCUCCUCUUGCUGCAAGUGCUCCUCUUGCUGCAGCUGCCUCAAAUGCUGCUGCUGCUCCUCCUGCUGCCACCGUAGAAAAUAGAAAAUCGCAACUUUUCAUUUUACGACGGUUAAUGCACAAUGUAACUACAGAAGUGUCAAGUUUUAAAUAGCAAAAAUAUUGAAACUCUUUGGUCAUUUUUGAGCGAGAUGCUAACAGUCUAAUCUGAUUCAAUGAUCUAUGCUAAGCUAAGCUAAAAGUGCUACCGCCAGACCCAGAGAUCGGCUAAAUGGAUUCGAAAAUGGUAAAACUCAACUGUUUAACUGUUUAAAGGGGAGUUGGAAAAUGAGCCUAUUUUCAAAAAUAGUAGAGUGUUCCUUUAAUGAGAUAAUUAGUUAAUAAAUUGAGUGACAACUGGCAUUAAUAAAAAAUGUAUAUAAAAUAACAUUUGCUGCCAACAUGCUGAAUCACGGAACGAAAGAGAAACAAGAACUACAACUGACUUCAGUCACUGCCUUAAAUGAAAUCAGCUGAAAUAAAAAACAUUAAAUCUCUCAAGAUCUGAUUAAACAACUUCACAAAAAGAAUUUAUUUUUAACCCUCUGAGUGAGGAUUAUAUAAACCCAGGAAUUGUUAAUUUAACACUGGGGGUUUUACUGUACAGAAAAGCACCAGUCCGCAUCGCUGGUGUUCCAGAUUUUAUUUUAUUUGAUUUUUUUUCACAAAACAAAUCCUUUUGCUUUUUCUUGCUUCCCUUCUGGAGACAAAUUGUCCACAAUUUUUCAACUCCUCUUGAAUUUCUUUUUCCAUAUUUUGAAGAAGCUAUUUUUUGUGGCAGCUGAUCUCUUUCACCAUUUUGUCAAUGGUGUCCAGCAGUUUUUCACCUGAACACUGUUUCUCUUGAAACCCCACCAGUAGUUUUUCCAGUGUUUGUUGUCAAUGACAUGACAGCAACCUCCACAUUUAUUGACAAGCUCUGUUUAUUUGGAUUUAGCCUUAACAAAUCCUUCCAUGGUCUGUCCUUCUAGUUGCUCACCAUGAAUGAAUAAGAUCACUGUGUGUUUCAGGACAUGUUUCUCUGUCAUUGUGUUCCGGAAUUGCUGAACACCUCAUUUUCAUGUUUUGUGUAUCUUCCAACAUUCAGAAAAAUGUCAAAGGCAUGAACAGCGGGAGCAAAUUCAAUGAGAGAUUUUAUGAUCUCAUUUUAUCUCCUUAUAAUCACAAUCUGUGUCAAAGAAUCCUGGUGUGUCAAUAAUUGUGAUGUUUCUUCCAUCCACCAUUCCAUCAAUUGUACAGCUGUAACAGAAUUAGCUGACGCUAUUGGGACGAAUACUUAUUUUCUAAGAAUUGUAUUCCCUGCACUGCUUUUGCCAUCUCCUGUUUUUCCAAUAAGGGUGAUCUUCCUCUCUGAAAAAAAGAAAAUUAAUAAUAAUAAUAAUAAUAAUUUAUUUUUAUUAUUAUUAUUAUUAUUAUUAUUAUUAUUAUUAUUAUUAUUAUUAUUAUUAUUAUUAUUAUUAUUGUUGUUGUUGUUGUUGCUGUUAAUACUUGUCAAUCAUCUAAAAAAAUAACAAAUUCUAUAACUAUAACUCUAUAACUAAUCACACAUUUUCUGAAAUUAAUAGUGAUUUAUCACACCUAACAUUAAAGUUUUAAUGUAUUUUAUAUACUUUCACAUUUAAUGUAGAACAAUGUAAAGACAGUAUACACUCUUAAAACUAACUCUGAGUGUGAGUUCUGAGUGUGCUCAGGGACAACACAUAUUAUUUAAUUCAAUACAGACAAACAGACAAAAGUGUUACCUUAGGAAACGCAUUAAUGUUACCUUUUUGUAUACAUCUAACACAACUGUGUAUUAUGUACUUGUACUUUAUAUAUUCUUUUUUUGUAAAUGUGAUUAUACUUUGAAAAUGUUAAUGAUACUAUUGGUCCCCCCUAUAAUAGUUAUUUUGGUUUCUCCCAUUUCUACUGAGCAAUUGAUUAUAUCUACACCUGUGACUAAUUUUGUACCUAACACACUCUGAGGAAGGCUGGAUGGCCGAAAUGCAUUAGUGUGCAGUGUUUUAGUCAUAUUUUAAUGUUCCUAGAGUGAGCCAUGUUUGAAUAAAGGCUUUUUAACAUUUUGGUACUGGAGGAAGUGCCUUGUAUCCGUAGUUUCUAUAGAUACAACUGUGUAUUACUAAGUGAUUAUUUACAGUUUUAAUAUAAAAUAUUAUUUAAAAUGGUAGAUCAGAAUACACUUUUAUCUUAAAAUCACACUGAAGCAUUAACAUGGAAUUAAUAUUAUUAAUAAUAUACACAUUAACAAUUGUUUUGAGUGACAUAUUGCUGAUCACAAAAUGAUACAAUAUCUAAUGAACAAUAACCCAUAAAGUCACCAGUCAAAUUCUUUGGUUUUGAUGA